rnacentral:rRNA from 1 species
AUUGAACGCUGGCGGUAUGCCUUCACAUGCAAGUCGAACGGUAGAGGGGCAACCCUUGAGAGUGGCGAACGGGUGAGUAAUACAUCGGAACGUGCCCAGUCGUGGGGGAUAACGUAGCGAAAGCUACGCUAAUACCGCAUACGACCUGAGGGUGAAAGCGGGGGAUCGCAAGACCUCGCGCGAUUGGAGCGGCCGAUGGCAGGUUAGGUAGUUGGUGGGGUUAAGGCCUACCAAGCCUGCGAUCUGUAGCUGGUCUGAGAGGACGACCAGCCACAAUGGGACUGAUACACGGCCCACACUCCUACGGCAGGCAGCAGUGGGGAAUUUUGGACAAUCGGCGCAAACCUGAUCCAGCCAUACCGCGUGCGGGAAUAAGGCCUUCGGGUUGUAAGCCGCUUUUGUCAGGGAAGAAAUCUUCUGGGCUAAUACCUCGGGAGGAUGACGGUACCUGAAGAAUAAGCACCGGCUAACUACGUGCCAUCCGCCGCUUUAACAC